GAUGAACGCUGGCGGCGUGCCUAAUACAUGCAAGUCGAGCGAACGGACGAGAAGCUUGCUUCUCUGAUGUUAGCGGCGGACGGGUGAGUAACACGUGGAUAACCUACCUAUAAGACUGGGAUAACUUCGGGAAACCGGAGCUAAUACCGGAGAAUAUUUUGAACCGCAGGGUUCAAAAGUGAAAGACGGUCUUGCUGUCACUUAUAGAUGGAUCCGCGCUGCAUUAGCUAGUUGGUAAGGUAACGGCUUACCAAGGCAACGAUGCAUAGCCGAUCUGAGAGGGUGAUCGGCCACACUGGAACUGAGACACGGUCCAGACUCCUACGGGAGGCAGCAGUAGGGAAUCUUCCGCAAUGGGCGAAAGCCUGACGGAGCAACGCCGCGUGAGUGAUGAAGGUCUUCGGAUCGUAAAGCUCUGUUAUUAGGGAAGAACAUAUGUGUAAGUAACUGUGCACAUCUUGACGGUACCUAAUCAGAAAGCCACGGCUAACUACGUG
rnacentral:rRNA from 1 species